GUCCUAAGGUAGCGAAAUUCCUUGUCGGGUAAGUUCCGACCUGCACGAAUGGCGUAAUGAUGGCCAGGCUGUCUCCACCCGAGACUCAGUGAAAUUGAACUCGCUGUGAAGAUGCAGUGUACCCGCGGCAAGACGGAAAGACCCCGUGAACCUUUACUAUAGCUUGACACUGAACAUUGAGCCUUGAUGUGUAGGAUAGGUGGGAGGCUUUGAAGUGUGGACGCCAGUCUGCAUGGAGCCGGCCUUGAAAUACCACCCUUUAAUGUUUGAUGUUCUAACGUGGACCCGUGAUCCGGGUUGCGGACAGUGUCUGGUGGGUAGUUUGACUGGGGCGGUCUCCUCCUAAAGAGUAACGGAGGAGCACGAAGGUUGGCUAAUCCUGGUCGGACAUCAGGAGGUUAGUGCAAUGGCAUAAGCCAGCUUGACUGCGAGCGUGACGGCGCGAGCAGGUGCGAAAGCAGGUCAUAGUGAUCCGGUGGUUCUGAAUGGAAGGGCCAUCGCUCAACGGAUAAAAGGUACUCCGGGGAUAACAGGCUGAUACCGCCCAAGAGUUCAUAUCGACGGCGGUGUUUGGCACCUCGAUGUCGGCUCAUCACAUCCUGGGGCUGAAGUAGGUCCCAAGGGUAUGGCUGUUCGCCAUUUAAAGUGGUACGCGAGCUGGGUUUAGAACGUCGUGAGACAGUUCGGUCCCUAUCUGCCGUGGGCGCUGGAGAACUGAGGGGGGCUGCUCCUAGUACGAGAGGACCGGAGUGGACGCAUCACUGGUGUUCGGGUUGUCAUGCCAAUGGCACUGCCCGGUAGCUAAAUGCGGAAGAGAUAAGUGCUGAAAGCAUCUAAGCACGAAACUUGCCCCGAGAUGAGUUCUCCCUGACCCUUUAAGGGUCCUGAAGGAAGGUUGAAGACGACGACGUUGAUAGGCCGGGUGUGUAAGCGCAGCGAUGCGUUGAGCUAACCGGUACUAAUGAACCGUGAGGCUUAACCUUACAACGCCGAAG
rnacentral:rRNA from 1 species